rnacentral:lncRNA from 1 species
AAAAAGAUGUAUUUGCUUUUAUUUCUUGUGCAUGAUUGUGUGCUUACUACAUGUCUGUCUGUGUAUCAUUUUGUGCCUGGUACCCACAGAGGCCAGAAGAAGAUAUCGGAGCUCUUGGAACCGGAGUUGCUGACACGUGGGUGCUGGAAAGUGGAACCUAAGUCCUCUGCAAGAACAGCAAGUGCUCUAAAGCUCUGAGCCCCUCAGUGCUUCAAGCUUUUGUCUCUAGACCUUCGUGAUUUUCUUUUUUCUUUUUAAUUUUUUCCCAUUAAACAGCCCAGAAAUUGCUAAAUUUAUCUGAAAUGAAACAGAACUCUCCUUAGGUACACUUUGAUAGACUUCAUAAAUUUUCUUUAGGGUGGCUCAGUCAGUAAAGUGCUUGCCACACAAGGGCCUGAGUUCAACUACUGGCACUCACAUAAAAAAAGUGGGCAUGGUGCCACAGGCUUGGAAUCCCAGUUCUGGAAAGGCUCCCCGGUUCUUACUGGUCAUCUAGCCCAAGCUAAUCUGUGUGUCCCAAGUCUCGUGAGAGACCCUGUUUCAAAAAACAAGACAGACAGCUCCUGAAAAAUGAUACCCAAGGUUGCCAUCUGAGAGUACACUCUGCAUGUAAUUAAAAUGAUCUCUCUUCUAGGCAUCAUAAAUGAAGAUGACUUAGGCCAGGAGAAACCCCAGCCUACCUCCCUACAUGAUCUUAGCUCCUCAAAC